AUACGGAGGGUGCAAGCGUUAAUCGGAAUUACUGGGCGUAAAGCGUACGUAGGCGGUUAUUUAAGUCAGAUGUGAAAGCCCUGGGCUCAACCUGGGAACUGCAUAUGAUACUGGCAAACUUGAGUAUGGUAGAGGGGGGUAGAAUUCCUAGUGUAGCGGUGAAAUGCGUAGAUAUUAGGAGGAAUACCAGUGGCGAAGGCGGCCCCCUGGACCAAUCCUGACACUGAGGUACGAAAGCGUGGGUAGCGAACAGGAUUAGAUACCCCAGUAGUCC
rnacentral:rRNA from 1 species